UCUACACUGGCUGAUAAAAGCAUACCACCGGAAUGCUGAAGCCCUGAUGGAAGAUGAAUAGAAACCGGACACUCCCACAGAGGGCUGGUUAGCUGGUGCACCAUCCCAUUUGCUCUUGGACUCUGCUCACUUCACCUCUCGGUGUGACUUUGCGAUGGCUGGAGCUGUGCCAGGCCUGCUACCCCUGGACACCUGAUGAUAUCAAGAGGACUAAGGGCCCCUGAAAUUUCAGAAAUGCUGAAUCCGUGGCAAAAGAGAUGUUAUUGGUGCCCUGAGUUCUUGUAAUCUCCAAGGAGAGAAAUCAAGAGGGAUCACCAGACAUAGCAGCCAAAAAGAAAGAGAAAAAUUUAUUUUAGCUUGUGUGCAAGGAAGUCAGCACUGCAAAAGGAAAAGGUGGGUUGCUCCCCAAGGGCAGUAUGUGGGUUAGUUUUACAGGGACUUUCUAUAGAAAAGGAUUUUGUCAGAGCCUGAAUAGGAGGGGUUUGUC
rnacentral:lncRNA from 1 species